AUUGAACGCUGGCGGCAGGCCUAACACAUGCAAGUCGAGCGGAUGAAGGGAGCUUGCUCCUGGAUUCAGCGGCGGACGGGUGAGUAAUGCCUAGGAAUCUGCCUGGUAGUGGGGGAUAACGUCCGGAAACGGGCGCUAAUACCGCAUACGUCCUGAGGGAGAAAGUGGGGGAUCUUCGGACCUCACGCUAUCAGAUGAGCCUAGGUCGGAUUAGCUAGUUGGUGGGGUAAAGGCCUACCAAGGCGACGAUCCGUAACUGGUCUGAGAGGAUGAUCAGUCACACUGGAACUGAGACACGGUCCAGACUCCUACGCGAGGCAGCAGUGGGGAAUAUUGGACAAUGGGCGAAAGCCUGAUCCAGCCAUGCCGCGUGUGUGAAGAAGGUCUUCGGAUUGUAAAGCACUUUAAGUUGGGAGGAAGGGCAGUAAGUUAAUACCUUGCUGUUUUGACGUUACCAACAGAAUAAGCACCGGCUAACUUCGUG
rnacentral:rRNA from 1 species